AGCAAAAAUUAUUUCCUGAAAAAUUACGCAAAUGUCCUGUAACAAAAAGGAGCAGGACAUGUACCGUAAUUUUACAAAUUACGUGACAUUUAAUUUUCAGUGUACAACUUUUUUACAGGACAUUUGCUGUAAUAAUAAAUGAAUCUUCGAUUACUUUCAAGGAAAACAAUUUAAAAUUACAGGUUUCGUUAGUUACAGGUUGAUUUAUUUUAAAGGUUGCAGUUUCAGUGACACGUAAUAGUCAAAAAAAUUUUCUGUAAUACUCCAAGGCCACCUGCAAAACACUUUGUCUGCCAUUAGAACCACUUCUGUUGAGGAUCAAAACGCUCGAAACUUUUAGAGGUCAAUCGCUGAAGCUCGAGCUUACCGGGACGGAAAUAAAUUCGAACGGAGAGAAUAAUCGGCUCCUAGUGGCCAUCCUAUGAGUUGCCCUCUACCCAAACGUCAUCAAAGUGUUAACCCCAGAGAAAAGCUUCAUCAGUGGAGCGAGUGGUGCGGUACACAAACUGCCUCAACCGUCCGAUCUUGGUUUUAAAACCCAAAAGGAUGGAUACGUUUUCUUGUAUCCAUCCUCGAUAAAUGCCACAUGUGGCCACUUCAAUUCCCCGUGCCUGGCCUACCAGGAAAAGGUUAAAACGUCCCGGAUCUACAUUCGGGAUACCACAAUAGUUCCGCUGCUGCCGAUGGUCCUGUUCUCGGGCAGCGAUCUGCAGAUAGAACUGCACGGUGGCGAUUUCGUGAUCCUGCUGGAGGAUGAGUGGAUUGUGCUGCAGGCGAAAAUGAUUAAAUUCUUACGCCUCGAGCUGGCUAAAGUUUUGGAGCUUUAAAUUUCCAAUCCGUUGCUGAAUUUGGCACACCACGAGCAUGGCCGCAAGGUCAUUGGAACUAUUAUCACAGAGAACAGAGUUCGAGCUGGAGCUCAACACGUGUGUUUGAAUACCAACCUAAGUUUCAAACCAAAUGCGUAAGUGGACUAACAUACAUAAGAUGUCGCUACCGGUACACCUAUUUUUGUUUUCAUUUUUUCGACACGCUUAGAAAUUAAUACUCAUCGCUUAUCUCAAAGAAGGCCAGUGCAAUGUAUGACAGUAACACAAAUUUCGGUGUAAUAAAUUUUAAAACAUCAUGAUUUAAAAAAAAUGCAAAUCAUAUUUCAAUCACAAUUGAACGCUGUCAGAUGCCCCAUAUUGUUCAAACAAGUUUGGCGCUGAAUUGAAAGUUGAAUUCCAAGUGUUAAAGUAUGUGUUGGGAUUUUACUAUCAGUUAACAGUUUUCUAGAACAGAAAAUGUGAACAUAAAUGUUAUAAUUGUAAACUAUGACUCGAUAUUCUGGUUGAUGUUACCUGAGAUCGAUAUAUGAGGACUUGUAACUCAGGGUUAGUAAUCAGUAGAAAUGAUUUAAGUUAUUUAUAAACAUGAGUUACAAGAUACCAUCAACCGGAAUACCGACCCAUAAUUAACAAUUAUAACAUUUAUGUUCACAUUCUCUGUUAUAGAAAACUAUUUAAUGACAGACAUAUUUUAAAACUAGGAAUUCAACUUUCAAUUCAGCGCCAAUAUUGAUUGAACAAUAUGGGGCAUAUGCUGGGACAUAUGACAGCGAUUAAAGUAUGAUUGAAAUAUGAUUUGCAUUUUUUUUAAAUCAAGAUGUUCUAAAAAAUUAUCACACAAAAAGUUGUGUUACUCUCAUACAUUGCAAUGGCCUCAUUUGAGAUAAGCUAUGAGUGUUAAUUUCUAAGCGUGUCGAAAAAAUGGAAAAAUAUGUGUACUGGUAGCGACAUCUUAUGGAUGUUAGUCCACUUACGAAUUUGGUUUGAAACUUAGGUGGGUAUUCUCACACACGAUUUCAACAAAUUUUUGUUCGGGACCCGAUGUCUGUUCUCUGUGCUAUUAUGCAGUUAAUUAUGAAGGAGUAACAGGAGAAUGCUUGUAAAGUUGUUUUGGCGCCUUGUAUAUAAUCUAGACGACGCAAAAAAAAAAUUGCUGGAGCGAGUUUUGGUAACACUAGGGUACAGCUGUUGUACUUAAGAAGAAAAGGAAUAAAUGUUAUAUGUUUGUAUUUAAAAGAAUAUUUCCUAAUACAUACAAUGUGAAGAAUUUAAA